AUAUCAAUAAGCGGAGGAAAAGAAACCAACAGGGAUUGCCCCAGUAACGGCGAGUGAAGCGGCAACAGCUCAAAUUUGAAAUCUGGCCCUCCCGGGGUCCGAGUUGUAAUUUGCAGAGGAAGCUUCGGCGUCGGCCCCGGGUCAAGUCCCCUGGGACGGGGCGCCCCGGAGGGUGAGAGCCCCGUACUCACCCGGGUGUGCUUCGCCGUGUGAAGCUCCUUCGACGAGUCGAGUUGUUUGGGAAUGCAGCUCCAAGCGGGAGGUAUAUUUCUUCUAAAGCUAAAUACCGGCCAGAGACCGAUAGCGCACAAGUAGAGUGAUCGAAAGAUGAAAAGCACUUUGAAAAGAGAGUUAAAAAGCACGUGAAAUUGUUGAAAGGGAAGCUCUUGCCGCCAGACUUGCCGCGGUUGCUCAGCCGCCCCCCGGGGCGGCGUACUCUUCCGUCGGCAGGCCAGCGUCGGCUCGGGCGGCCGGAUAAAGGCCCCGGGAAUGUAGCACCUCUUGGGGUGUGUUAUAGCCCGGGGUGUAACGCGGUCAGCCCGGUCCGAGGCACGCGUUCGCGAGGACGCUGGCGUAAUGGUUGCAAGCGACCCGUCUUGAAACACGGACCAAGGAGUCUAACAUCUGUGCGAGUGUUUGGGUCUCACACCCAUGCGCGCAAUAAAAGUGAACGGAGGUGGGAACCCCCCCCCUCGAGGGGCGCACCAUCGACCGAUCCUGAUGUCUUCGGAUGGAUUCGAGUAAGAGCAUAGCUGUUGGGACCCGAAAGAUGGUGAACUAUUCCCGGAUAGGGUGAAGCCAGAGGAAACUCUGGUGGAGGCUCGCAGCGGUUCUGACGUGCAAAUCGAUCGUCAAAUCUAGGAAUAGGGGCGAAAGACUAAUCGAACCAU
rnacentral:rRNA from 1 species